UACGUAGGUGGCGAGCGUUGUCCGGAAUUAUUGGGCGUAAAGAGCUCGUAGGCGGCUUGUCGCGUCGAUUGUGAAAGCCCGGGGCUUAACUCCGGGUCUGCAGUCGAUACGGGCAGGCUAGAGUGUGGUAGGGGAGAUCGGAAUUCCUGGUGUAGCGGUGAAAUGCGCAGAUAUCAGGAGGAACACCGGUGGCGAAGGCGGAUCUCUGGGCCAUUACUGACGCUGAGGAGCGAAAGCGUGGGGAGCGAACAGG
rnacentral:rRNA from 1 species